rnacentral:rRNA from 1 species
AGUAGCGGCGAGCGAAGCGGGAAGAGCUCAAAUUUAUAAUCUGGCACCUUCGGUGUCCGAGUUGUAAUCUCUAGAAAUGUUUUCCGCGUUGGACCGCACACAAGUCUGUUGGAAUACAGCGGCAUAGUGGUGAGACCCCCGUAUAUGGUGCGGACGCCCAGCGCUUUGUGAUACAUUUUCGAAGAGUCGAGUUGUUUGGGAAUGCAGCUCAAAUUGGGUGGUAAAUUCCAUCUAAAGCUAAAUAUUGGCGAGAGACCGAUAGCGAACAAGUACCGUGAGGGAAAGAUGAAAAGCACUUUGGAAAGAGAGUUAACAGUACGUGAAAUUGUUGGAAGGGAAACGCUUGAAGUCAGACUUGCUUGCCGAGCAAUCGGUUUGCAGGCCAGCAUCAGUUUUCCGGGAUGGAUAAUGGUAGAGAGAAGGUAGCAGUUUCGGCUGUGUUAUAGCUCUCUGCUGGAUACAUCUUGGGGGACUGAGGAACGCAGUGUGCCUUUGGCGGGGGUUUCGACCUCUUCACACUUAGGAUGCUGGUGGAAUGGCUUUAAACGACCCGUCUUGAAACACGGACCAAGGAGUCUAACAUGCUUGCGAGUAUUUGGGUGUCAAACCCGGAUGCGUAAUGAAAGUGAAUGGAGGUGGGAACCGCAAGGUGCACCAUCGACCGAUCUGGAUUUUUAAUGAUGGAUUUGAGUAAGAGCACGUAUGUUGGGACCCGAAAGAUGGUGAACUAUGCCUGAAUAGGGCGAAGCCAGAGGAAACUCUGGUGGAGGCUCGUAGCGGUUCUGACGUGCAAAUCGAUCGUCAAAUUUGGGUAUAGGGGCGAAAGAC